rnacentral:guide_RNA from 1 species
AUAACAUAAAACAAUAACUAGAUGGUAAGGGUUUGUGCGUUGAUGAGUAUGUG